AUGAAAGCGUUGUUUAUAGCCGCCCAGACGACUGACUGGUUAACAUGUCACGGGGCGGAAUUAACGCGAUUGAUCAUCUCUAUUAAGAUAUAUAUACUCUAUAAUGCGACUAAUAUGCGCGAUUGGUGCUCCUGUAGCUGCAGGCCUGAAACUGUUGAGGGCCUCUGUUUAAUCCCCCUGAACAGAGAGCAUAUCAGCAGUGCUACAUUGAUGGAGCCAUGGAGGGAAGUUCGAACUCAGGUUAACUCUGCUCAAAACUUUGUGAGGGAACAGAACAGUAGCCGGAUGAAGGCGAGAUCGAAGAGCAGCUUUGGCAUCAAGGGAAAGGUAAUAGUAAAACUGGUGCAUGCACAUUGA
rnacentral:rRNA from 1 species